AAAUUUAUAAAAUCCCUGUUAAAUUCUCAAUUCAGUCACAAUUCAAAGAACAUAAUCUAAUCGUUUAAUACAAUUUCCAAAAAAUUGCUAGACUCCAAAAUAGCUGCAAAUUACAUAGACUCAACAGACGUUACAAAAAUGGUCCUCAAUCAAAGAGGCCUACCAAAAGAAAUAUGUGGAGACUUGAAUCAAAUAACAGAUUUCUACUCAACUGCCU
rnacentral:lncRNA from 1 species